ACAUGGACCCACGCACGUUUGUCCAAAGAGUCUCGUUUGGUCGGCUGUUGUGUUUGGUCUGAGCGGCAAAAUUCAAAGCAAACAGCUGAAUCCAAAGGCAGAUGGCAAGUUGCCAGCAGGGACGGAUGGCAGGGGGGCCAUGUCGGUCGUAGUAGUGUUGGGGGGGGAACCGAUGGAUCGGGGGGCAGCUCUGUGCCACACCCCCUGUGCCCCCACAAACGCAAUUAAAACACAGUCAAACUCUCCCCACACGAGAGUACAAUUCAAAAGUUACUCAGUCUUACGGCCCCCUCCACGAUGGUUCGUAGCUUCCCUGGGUGAUUUUUUCUGUCGGCUAUCUUCUCUUCCGGUUUUGUGACGAGGCUUUCAGCAGGCCAAGAAUGUUGCAGAGAUAAGGAGAAUCUUCCUAGCUCGGUACGGGUUUAGAAAUAACAGCAAAACGGCUGGAUCUGGGGGCUUCCACUCCCCUCCUCCGGGUAGCGGGUCGGCAGUCCUCCCCCCCUCCUCCGGGGAUUUCAGCUGGGGCAAAAGCAGCGUCCGAGAGCAGGCGUGGGGGGGGGGGGGGGGGCUGGCAGCAAGCUGGCAACUGACCAGCACUCGAACGGCAGCAAAAAAAAAACCAGCAAAAAAAACAAAACGAAGAAAAAGCGUCUGGCCCGGUCGGGAGGGAACUAAGGCAGGGUCAAAAAGUAAGAAAAAUCCAGGCCAGGGGGCUUUAGGAGAGCAUAGAAAGCAGACAGCUAAGCAGCAAGCGAAGGAGGUCCCUUUUCCCUAAGUAAGGGAGCAGGGAAGGUUCCAGAACAAUCAGGAACCUUCUGGAGACAAGUAAGACAGGCUGAUUAGAACACCUGCAGCCAAUCAAGAAGCUGCUAGAAUCAAUUAAGGCAGGCUAAUCAGGGCACCUGGGUUUUAAAAAGGAGCUCACUUCAGUUUGUGGUGUGCGUGCGAGGAGUUGAGAGCAAGAGGCACUAGGAGCUGAGAGUGAGAACGCAGACUGUUGGAGGACUGAGGUGUACAAGCAUCAUCAGACACCAGGAGGAAGGUCCUAUGGCAUCAGGUUUGCUGAGAACCCACUUCAUGCUAUAAGAACUGUGCUCAAGAAUGUAAGCUUUGAUUGAAGAAAAACUACAUUUCUAACUGUUACGAUUGCAGAGAGCAUCAAACAUUAACCAAGUGUAAACUAUGCGGGAGCAGCGGGGACAUGUCACAGCUUCCGGGGAGCCAUGUGGAGCCAGGUAGGGAGCCUGCCACCAGCCGGACUAUAAACAAGACUUUCAAUGAAGAUCAGAAAUGCCGGUUUACAGAGCUUUCAGGGACAUGCACAAUUUGAUGUUUUGCCUCCAUGUUGGCCUGGUGCACCAGCAGGGGGAGAAGAAAGGGGAGGCAGAGAGGGACCCUGCCUGCCUAAAUUGAGGUGCGUGCGGAGCCCCCGGCCCGCCCAGGGGCCGCAGGGACAUGCUGGCUGCUUCCAGGAGCGGCAUGAGGGUGAUCUGAAGACAGAGUCUGACAUCAAAUCAUAAGAUCUCCACAAUUUUAACAAAAGAGACUAAUGGGGCAGUUAUAAAAUUGAUCAUAACCCCAUUCUUGAGAAAUCUCCUUUAUAUUUAUUA